CUAACGCGACUGUUAUUCUUCUCCAGAGAAGAAAAUAAACCAAGCCUCAAUUUUAGUCCAAAUCCAAGUGAGUGAGGCUGAAAUCUCUCCUCACGCGUUCCUCCUUCUCUUCUCAUCACUAUUUCAAACGGUUUCUGGCAAAAGAUUCCUUCUACUCGCUCGAAUUUGAGUUUUAUCUCAUGAUCGGAAGCUUAUGGAAAUGAUUUGCUGGAUGAGUUUGAGGCGUUGGAUUGAUUUCACUCAAUCCAAGCCCCACAUUCAUUAGGAAUUCGUUUUCAAAAGGAGAUGGAUUCGAUUUUGAAAGUGGAGGCUGAAAAUUGAAAAAAAAAAAGGUUAGAAAUGGUUCCAAAAAACUCCUGGUCUUUUUUUCUGAUUCUACUUUUUCUUCUUCUUCGAAGAGUUCUUUAAAGAGAUUUAAGGAAAACAUAUAUACCAUUUUAUUUUUUGGAAUCUGGUUUUUUGAGUGCCAAAGGGAAUAUAAAUUAAUGGAGGUCGUUCAACUGGUGGUGAGAUUUAAGUUCGUCGACUUCGUUUUUCUACCGUCGUCUUGCUAGUUGCUGUUGAACAUCGUUAGGAUUUGGAGUCGAAAGGUGUAUUGACGAGUCUGUAUUUAUUAUAGUAAGUUUGAAAUAUCAGGUUAAAUUUCUUUUCUCUUCUACAUUUCUGUUUUAAAGUGGCUUGAACUGUGAGAUUUUUUUCAAUGGUAUUCUGUUCCGUGAUUGAUUUUUUGUUAAUGAAUUUCUUCUCAAUGGUAUGAUGUGCUUGAGUAUGUCCAGCCAGUAGAAGCUGAGUCUGAAGGGUCUUCUUCUGUGCUUUUGCUUUAAUUCCUAUCAUGAUGUCGAGUUUUCAUUUAAGUCAAGAUUUCGAGUUAAUUUUCGAAGUUUAAAGGUCUAUCGGAAUGGUUCUGUUGGGGAAAUUUGACAGCCUGUUCAAGGUUGGAUGUCUGCUUGAGUUGAUGCAUCACUGAACAUUAUCAACUCUUUCUCUUCUGAUUUGAGUCAUAAUAUUUUGUGCCUAGAUCAAUAUAGGAUUUGUGGUUCAUCUUUAGCUUCAAUUAAGCUCAUGAAAUCAGUAAAAGAUUUUUUUGUGUUUAUCACGACCUGCUAUGAAAGUUGAGAAUCACUGCUUGUUUUAAAGUUGUAGCUGGUCUAAAUUGCAGCUGUCAAAGGGACUGCUAUUGCUAGACUCAUUGCAGCUUCAUUUCUUCCUAACACAAUCAGGAAUAGAUAGAUUUUGUGGUUAUUCAUGAAGGUUCAAGGUUUCAACUGUUGGAAUAUAGCCCAUGCUCAUGUUAGCAGUAUGCUGCAGUUCUGAUUUGCUGGUCUGUGUUCCUGGGCUGCUCUCAUGUCAAAGGGAUAUCUGUAUGCUCUCAAGUCGUGUCAUUUUUCAUUGUUUUGUUUUGCAUUGGAAAUUAUGAGAACAUUUAAGUCAGGAACUUGGUAUCUAUUGAUUGUUUGCCUUAAUCCAUGUUUGUUGUAUACAGUUGAGUGUGUCACUAACUUGAGGAUCCAUUACAAUCCUUGUAUGCAUUCUGCUGUUAAGUUGUGAUUUCCUGACCUAUGCUGGAACUUGG
rnacentral:lncRNA from 1 species